rnacentral:snRNA from 1 species
UCCGAUGUAUACCUCUAAAU